rnacentral:snRNA from 1 species
AUCACGCAGCCAUGUGGU